AGCGAACGCUGGCGGCAGGCUUAACACAUGCAAGUCGAACGGGCGUAGCAAUACGUCAGUGGCAGACGGGUGAGUAACGCGUGGGAACGUACCUUUUGGUUCGGAACAACCCAGGGGAAACUUGGGCUAAUACCGGAUAAGCCCUUACGGGGAAAGAUUUAUCGCCGAAAGAUCGGCCCGCGUCUGAUUAGCUAGUUGGUGAGGUAACGGCUCACCAAGGCGACGAUCAGUAGCUGGUCUGAGAGGAUGAUCAGCCACAUUGGGACUGAGACACGGCCCAAACUCCUACGGGAGGCAGCAGUGGGGAAUAUUGGACAAUGGGCGCAAGCCUGAUCCAGCCAAUGCCGCGUGAGUGAUGAAGGCCUAGGGUUGUAAAGCUCUUUUACCGGGAAGAUAAUGACUGUA
rnacentral:rRNA from 1 species